UGCGUAGGUGGCAAAGUAAGUUGGAUGUGAAAUCCUGGGGCUUAACCUCAGAAUUGCAUUCAAUACUGCUUAGCUAGAGAGCUGUAGAGGAGACUGGAAUUUACGGUGUAGCAGUGAAAUGCGUAGAUAUCGUAAGGAACGCCAGUGGCGAAAGCGAGUCUCUGGGCAGCAUCUGACACUGAGGCACGAAGGCCAGGGGAGCAAACG
rnacentral:rRNA from 1 species